AGUACCAUAAAAAAGUAUAUCAUAGACAUGUUUGAUCCGAGACGGAAGGUUCCAGAGUAAGUGACAACUAAGCAGAGAUCUUAAAGAUGUGGGAACACCUACAUGUCUAUGUUCAGAAGCUGCCUUGAUGCCACAUGCGGGAGGCUGGAAACGCUGAAGGAUGACCACUGCUCAGCAGCAGUCUACCAGUGAUGGAUGAGAGUUGGUGCACAAAUACCCCAGCUCCCUUGCCUCUCAGUUUGGAUAAUCCUGAAAAGACCCAGCAAGAAAUGAUUCCAAGAUCACCUAGCUGAUCUCAUGCUCUAUCUGGAUUUGAGUGAAGAUAUACAUAUUCACCAAGUCUUGACUCAGUCACCUUUUGUGCAGGCCCAAUAGAAGCAAAUGCAGGUAUGAUCUGGAGAAGCAUAUCUUGAAUCUCAAAAAGUCAGGACAGACAACACCAUAAGAAACAGCAGGGGGAAAAGAAAAAAGCAGAAUCAGGCUCAGAACUACAGACACCUUCAGAGGGCAGUGUUCCAUUUUAUUGAGGGAGAUCUGAAGAGAUGAAGUGACUUGCCAGAGCACAGGUCCAGUAAGUGUCAGGUUUCAAGUUCUUUGAGUUGAGAUUCAGUCAUUUGAAAGCCAUUUAUCUAGUGGAAUAACACC
ensembl:lncRNA novel transcript